rnacentral:lncRNA from 1 species
UUUUAUUUAUUUAUGAUAGUCACACACAGAGAGAAAGAGAGAGAGGCAGAGACAUAGACAGAGGGAGAAGCAGGCUCCAUGCAGGGAGCCCGACGUGGGAUUCGAUCCCGGGUCUCCAGGAUCGCGCCCUGGGCCAAAGGCAGGCGCUAAACCGCUGUGCCACCCAGGGAUCCCUCUUCCUCUCUUUCAACUCUGUGUGAAGCAUUAGGCUCUGAUUCCUUCCAGUUUUGCUCAUCUUGGGCAUUGUGGUUAUCUUCUCAAGGUGUUUUUCCCUUCUUAUGCUUCCCUUCUUUUAAGGUAUCCCAACCUCUCCCCAUAACCUACCCGACUUCUUUAAGGGGAGCGCAUGUGACUCAGGCAUAACCCAAUCAGCAUACUCCCAUCUCUGACCAAUCAAAUCAGACCAAUAAGUAGUGAGGCACAGUUUGCUGGAACAUUGAGGGAAGGAGCUUCCUUGUUCUUAUAGAGAAGGCAUCUUAAAGAGACCCUUUCCCUCACUGGAUCUGGAUGAAGGCGGCUGCAGUCCCAGAAAUUGUUGGCAGCCGAUUUUCCCCCCGGGGGUGGGAUGUGGGGGAUAGGGAGAAACGACUGGUGUGGCUGAGAGCAAAGGGGAGUGAUUAAGUGAUAUAGACAGGUACUUGAUGGUAUCACUGAAAUGCUGAAUCAAACUACCCUUGAAAUUCACUUAAUCUCUAGAUUUGCCAGUUAUUUGAACCAAUAGAUCUCCUUUAUUGUUUAAGUCAAUUUGAACUAACUUUUUUCUUAUUUGUAGCCCUAAUGCAUCCUAAAUGCUAUUGAUCAUUCCAUUAAGCAGGGCAAUUUGGCAAUGUUCAAAAGCCUUAAAAAAUAUAUGUAUUUGAGCCAUAUUCUCUGAGCCAGCAGUUCCUCUUCUAGGAAUUUAUCCUAAUAGUUGAAAAUCUAUAAAGAUUUAUAAGCAUAAGCUUCACAAUAUUUCUUAGAAUAGAAUACCUAAAAUGAAUUUCUAAUGUGCAGCUAAUCAAGUAUAUUGGAGUAUAAGGAUACUUCUGAACACAAUGAAGCCCUGGAAGCUGAUAAAUAAGGUAGCUAUAUAUAUUGGACAGUGAAAGCUGUGCCUUGUGUAGUAGUAAAAAUACCGCAGGUGAUAGACAGCAUUUUAUUAAUCCAUUUUAUUCAACACAAUCCAAUAAUAAUGCUAAUGCCUUUGAGCUUUAAAUAUCAAGAGCUUUGUACACAUUUUGCAGAGCUUUUUCAUCCUGGUUCCACCAAAACUACCUAGAAUACACACACACACACAGGUACACACACAAAACAAGCCAGGGCUGCAUAGUUAACUCAGGCUCUCUAGGGAGAGGAGACACAUGCAGAAUUUUUAAAAGAUCUUGGGUGAUUUUAAUGCAUUGGUAAGACUGAAAAAUCAUAGUAUUGUCUUUUACCCUCAAGACAAUGCUUUAUUUGUACCACCUUCCUUGUACGAUUGAAGAAAUCUUAGAAAGGUUAAGUACUUCACCUCCUAUAACAUAAAAGACUCUACCCAGGGCUGUCUAACUUUAAAAAUCAUCUUGACAAAGGGCACCUGGGUGGCUCAGUGGUUGAGAAUCUGCCUCCAUCCCAGAUCCUGAUCCUAGGAUCAAGUCCCACAUCAGGCUUCCCCGCAGGGAGCCUGCUUCUCUCUCUGCCUAGGUCUCUGCCUCUCUGUGUGUUUCUCAUGAAUAAAUAAAUAAAUAAAUAAAUAAAUAAAUAAAUAAAUAAAUAAAUAAAUAAAUUCGAAAAAAAAAAAAUCUUGACAAUGAUAUCAGAUUGUCUUUCACUGACCAAGAGUGAAUAUGGGAAGAAUUUGGGUACAAAGAAUAAAGGCCAAAAGACUCACAAAAGCAUUGUGAAAUCUUUGGGUAAUGAGAUUACCAGUAAUUUGGAUGCUUUCUUACAGACUUAAAUGUUACUUUUCAUACCCAAUAUGCCUUUGUGUUGUAAAGCAUGUACAUGUAUAUGUACAUGUUUAUAUAUAGAUGUAUAUGCAUGUCUUAUGGUUGCUGCCACCAUCAUUUCACUACUUUUCAAAACCUCUGCUACAUCUGUCACUAGCACAUCUAUAGUGUUGCUGUCCAGAACACUAUCUUUUCUGGGGAGACUCCUGUUGCUUCUGAAUAUCAAAGUGCUUCUUAUCCCUCAUUUACCUCUAAACACUAGCUCAAGAGUUCAAAAGUAACAUUUCCAUAUAUAGGAAAUAACCAACAAAAACAUAAGAAGCCUAAGAAUACUAAGGCUUACCCAAAGAGGUUACUAAUCACGCACAUUCACGUGUGAAUCAGAAGCUAGCUCCUAAACAUGGCCAUUUUAGCAUCAUCUAAAACAACUGAAUGCUGUUUUACUGGACUUUUAAGAACUUGAUUAGCAAAAUCCCAUUUUAUGUUUUAGUUUUAGACCUACUCUGAUUUCAUCCUGGUUUGCUGAGGAAAGGCAAAAUGUGCUUUCUCAAGAUCAAUGCCUCGUGAAAAUAGGUAUGCACUAUUUUUAGUUUUCUGACAAUACAAUUUUCAGAAUGUUUGCUCUGAUCACACUCCCAAAGAUAUUUUCCUUAAGAAUUUUCCCAUGCAGAUUAUUCAAGAAGCUCAUUGCUUUUGAGUUCAGACCCUGGAUUUAUGAGGUCCUUCCCCAAAUGAACCCUCCUGAUAGCUUGCCCUGCUUUCACCCUACCAGGUUCUAGAUGUCCCUGACUCAAAGCAACUCCAUCAACAGUUUAAUAGCUCUUUUGAGGAAAAGUUCUAUAGGUAACAAUGUUUGAAAAAUCACCCAUCUGAACCAACACCUUCAUUUAUCAGAGGAGACAAUAGCCCCUAGAGGGGAAAAGCACCUGUAGUCCAGCUUCCUACAUGACACCAGGGCUCAGGCCCCUGACCCUUCAUCAAUGACAGUGAGUCUAUUUGUUUCCACUGCUGCUACAACACAUUGCAACAAGUUUAAAGGCUUAAAAACAACACCAGUUUAUCAUUUCAUGGUUCUGGAGGUCAGAAGUUUGACAUGGGUCUCCUAAGGCUGUAUUCCUUCCUAAAGGUUCUAAGGGAGAAUGUUUUCUUGCUUUUCUCAGUUCCUAGGGGCAGCCUGUAUAUCUUCGUCUGUGGCCCCUUUGUCCAUCUGCAUUCAGCGCCAGCGCAGUUGGGUGGAGCCCUUUUCAUGUUGCUAUCUAUCCUGGUUCACUCUUCCAUAGACCAAUGUGAUUGGAUUGGGCUCACAUAGAUAAUUCAGAUCAUUUUCCCAUCUCAAGGGUACUCACAUUUACACAAUAUCUUUGGCCAAAUAAGGUAACAGUUCCUGGUUCUGGGAAUGAGAUGUGGACAUCUUGUAGAGCCAUUAAUCUGUGGACUGUGUGUAUUGUUUUUUUUUCUGUCCUAGUACAACUCAUUAAUACCAACUUGCCAAAGCAGUGAUUCCCAAGCAUAGAAAUAUAGAUCUCCUAACAAAAUCCAUCAGGAUGGGGGUAGAGAUAAGAAAUGAAAACCAUUUUCAAUAUUUUCAAUUUUUUUUUUUGUUUUUAGUCGUAAAUGCCCUCUAUUUUAAGCACAGUAUGUAUGGACUCAACACUGACUGUAACUUCAUUUUUUGCAUAUUCUCAUAUAGUUUAUAAGUUAUAUGCAAGGGAAACAUUUUAUAGGUAUCAGAUAUGUAACUAAAACAAAGAAGAGGGGUUAGGAGUAUUUUCCUAGAAAAGAAAUGUGUAUUCUGAUAUAAGGGCUCAGCAAAGUAGAAUUUUCAGGUUGCAUGCUAUCACAUGCUUUAUUUCCAAUCAGUCCCAUGCAAAAUGUGAACUUUAUUGCCAAGGAAAUUUGUGUCCUUAAAUGGUUGAGUAACAGGACAGAACUUUUUUUUUUUUUUUAAACAAAUUGGUAACUCAACCUUCCAAGGGCAAACAUGUCAAGUCUCUUUGAUAAAUAGCCUUUUGGCAUUAGCAAGUGGCUCUGGGCAAUGUCAAA